rnacentral:lncRNA from 1 species
UUCUCUAUUUCUUACUACAAAGGCAUGGUACUGUAAAUCUGAUAGAGAUUGUUUUGGAUUUUUUUCUCAUACUGGAAGGCGAGAAACUCACGAUGAAGUAUGUGUGCAUGGCAAAUGUGUUUUAUUUCCCAUAAUAUUGUCUCAGUUUUUUGUAGCAAUUUAAUUCACAUUUCUCUUGAAUGGAAAGUGAGACUCCAUGCGAUCAAAUAGUGUAACC